UCCAGGGUAGCCUAGUGGACAUGGCAUCUGCCCGGUAAGCAGAACGUUGUGGGUUCGAUUCCCGCCCCUGGAC